CAGCCGCCACGGUAAUACGUAGGGUGCAAGCGUUAAUCGGAAUUACUGGGCGUAAAGCGUGCGCAGGCGGUCCGCUAAGACAGAUGUGAAAUCCCCGGGCUUAACCUGGGAACUGCAUUUGUGACUGGCGGGCUAGAGUAUGGCAGAGGGGGGUAGAAUUCCACGCGUAGCAGUGAAAUGCGUAGAGAUGUGGAGGAAUACCGAUGGCGAAGGCAGCCCCCUGGGCCAGUACUGACGCUCAUGCACGAAAGCGUGGGGAGCAAACAGGAUUAGAUACCCCCGUAGUCCCUGUCUCUUAUAC
rnacentral:rRNA from 1 species